rnacentral:rRNA from 1 species
UACGUAGGGGGCAAGCGUUGUCCGGAAUCAUUGGGCGUAAAGCGCGUGUAGGCGGCCCGGUAAGUCUGUUGUGAAAGUCCAGGGCUCAACCCUGGAAAGCCGAUGGAUACUGCCGGGCUAGAGUUCGGAAGAGGCGAGUGGAAUUCCUGGUGUAGCGGUGGAAUGCGCAGAUAUCAGGAGGAACACCUAUAGCGAAGGCAGCUCGCUGGGACGACACUGACGCUGAGACGCGAAAGCGUGGGGAGCGAACAGG